GGAACUAAAGCCCAGUUAUUUUUUCGCAACUUUCUUUUCAUGUAUUGCCUUUUCAUGUAUUGCACCUACGUAAGAAGUAUGCUCCAGCUAUACAAAAAGGAUAUUUAGAGAGGAAACUACAGUCUCAGUGGUCAAGUAAUUUCAGUUGAGCAAGCAAAUACUUUUAUUUGAAAUUUGUUUCCCCCAGUAGCACAGUAGAAUUCUUGGCACAUGGCAGCAAUGAAUGUUUUUUGGUUACCUAUCAAAAUGCAAACAUGGGUGUUGUGCAGAGUGCCAGAUAAAGGCAAGUAAAAAGUGUGAGAGAAAAAAUAAUGAAAAUAGCUUAACCAAUUACUACUCAGGUCUGGGAUUUGAGUUUAUUUUACUGAUAGAUAAUAAAUUAGUCUCUUGCUGUUUCAUGGGUGCUGUAAAAGACACAAGAUUCCUGGUUCAGAGGCAAAGGACUACUAGUCACAGCACAGGAAGCAACUCAUGCAUUAGCACAUUUGUGUCAGUUCCUCUUGCCUGCCAGGUACCAUGUGAAUGAAAUAAAGGUCUCAGGUGAAUGUUAUUUAGUGGAUUUACAUCACAGCUAGAGAACACUGAGCAUGGGGAAGCUGCCAUUUUAUGGGAAGCAGUAAGAAAACCUGUUCUGUAUCCUGGACGGAGACAUUAUUUCAUCUCUCAGGGUUGCUUACUACAAACACAACCCACACCCCUGAGAAAAGACAUUGGUAAAAAGCAGUCAAGAUGGGGUGCAUUCUUGGCACACCCUGGAAGAUGAGACGCAUGAGGGGCCAUCUCUCUCAACAUGACUAUUGGCCAAACUCUAUUCUAAGCACUUUACCUCUGUUAUCUCAUUAAAUCCUUACAACCCUAUAAUGUCCCCUAUUUUAUAGAUGAAUAAGGAUGCAUAGUGAAGUCACAGCUAAUAAACAAGGAAUCCAGGAGAAGCAUGGGUCUGAUGACUUGUAAAAUCCACAAGCAACCCCCUAAAAAAAGUUAUUGACUGUGUUAGCCUUCUCCAGAAUUGCUGGAGGGCAGGGGAGAUGGACCUAGUAAAAAAAAAUUAGGAGAGCUCACAAGAUGUGAGAUGAGGAUUCAAAGUCAUUAUAAUUAGAACAUUAAAAUGAGUGUGACCUUAUUUUACAACCAACCUAAUGAAGAAGGAUCUUGAUUAGUUACACAAAUAUGAAAAUAAUAAAGUUGGAAUAAGAGUUUUGCUCCAAAAUUAUAAUGAAAUUUGGUUUGGACCUGAAUCAUUGGGUUUAACUGGGAUGUGAAGGGACUUAGCCUACUAAAUCAGGUGUCAGGCAAAGGAAAAGGAAGGGAACCGUCAUUAAAAGAGCUAGCUUUUUCAUUUAGUUACUUAAUAAAAAUAUACCGAAUGCCUGUUUUGUUCUAGGAUUUGUAACUGGCUGGUGAUGCAGAGGUGAAUAAAUAGCUACAAACUCCCACGGGCAAUAGCACAGAGCCAAACUUGGCAGUUCCCCUUCUAGGAGCUCCUUCUACUGUUACACUUGCACACAUGUAAAAGGACAUUUUUGUGAAGUUACAUUCAGUGAAGUCAUUUUUUAUUUUUUUAAAAAAGAUUGGAAACAACCUAGUAGUCAUAGGUUAAAUUAUGAUCCAUCCACAGUGGAAAACGGAAUCACUGUAAACAGAGCAUGAGGAAACUCUUCGUGCGCUGAUGCAGAAUAAUCUCGUGGAGACCGAACAUGGUUAAGUGAAACAAGGUACAGCACAGGCUAUGGAACAGAAUAGCAUCAGAGUAUAAAAGAGGAACCUUAUAUGUGUUUAUAUUGUUAGAAGUAUACACACCAAAUUGGUAACGCUGGUGGCCACUGAGAAGGGAGACUGGUCUGCUGGGCUGGGGAGAGUUUGGAGGUAGAUUUUUCACUUUAUUCUGUUUGUUACUGUUUUCUAACCACUAAAUUUUCAGCUAGAUGAAUGUUUUACCUAUUGAAAAAAAUAUGUACAUAAAAUACCCAAGAAGGAUCAAACUGGAAGAAAAAGUAGUAGGAUCACCAAAAUUACAAAAUAAAAUGAAACACCAUUACUGUGCUCAAGAACUCAGUCUAGCAGGAGAGACAGCAAAAGACAAAAUAAUUACGACACAGUGUAAUGAUGGUGGUGACAGAGGCCUGCAAGCACCCAGGGUGAGGAGUUAGGGAAGCUGUUUUGUGAAAUGGGAGAGCUGAGCUGAGUUAUCCACAAGAGGAGUCGUCGAGGCAGAGGCAGGGCAUUUCUGACAAGGAGAAUGGCAUGUGCAGAGAUUUGAAAGGGCCCAGUGUGGUCUGAGGCCAUCCAGUCAGCAGGAUGGGCACGGAGAGAACAGGGCAGAAAGUGGGUGGGGCAGGUGGGCAAGAGUCACCUGGAGUGUAGUGUCCAGGAGUUUGGAUUUCAUUUCUAAGAAUUUAGGAGCCUCUGAAAGCUUUUAGACAGAACAGCUGUAUUAUGGGGUCUGUGCUUCAGCAAGUUCAUUCUGCAGGAUGUGUGGAGAAUGAAUUGAGAUAGGAAGAUCAGCUAAGAAGCAAUAGCGGUGAUUCAGGUCACUGGGACUUCGGCCUGCACCGCUGCGCCCAUCCAGGUCUCGGCACACAGUGGAGCCGCCCGCCCUCGGAAACAGCACCCAGACGGGCGAGCAGAGCGCUUCCCAUCCAGAGCUGGUCUGCAGCCCUCGCUGUGCCCUCCAUCCACCUCCUCGAGGACUCCACUUCGCUCUGCCAGUUUGAGGUCCUAGUUCAUCCAAGCUGGGAUCCCCACGGAGAACCAUGGGGACAGGAGGGGAGAGGAAGGCUCAGAGAUAGAAGCACACACCAAGCACCCAUGGGCAUCAGCAGCCCUCACAACCCUUAAGUACUGACAACACAUAGGAAUGGUUAUGGCCCCUCAGGCAUCUGCAAACAAGGCGGAGCUGUGAGGAGUUGGGUGGACACUGGGCAGCAGGGAGGGCCAGGCCACUCCACCGCACAUGCAGUGCUCAGAGCUGAGAAGAGCCCAUCGCAUCCCACCACCCAAACUUGCACUCGGAGGCCAUCUGCUCACACUUAACCUAAUCACUCCAGACAGUUUUUCUGAAAAGCGUCAUGAAGACCUUCAGCAUGAAGCACCCACCAGUGCCUUAAACUCCUGCCCCAGGGCUAAAUCACACCAUGAGAGCUUCUCUUCUUCUCCCAGCACACGCAAGGUCCUGAGUUGGAUCCCUAUGACCAUCAAAUCAAAAUAGCUGGCCUCAGACGGUUUCCAGUGGCUCAUCCUGCCCGGAGCACAGACACUAAAUGUUAACAUCCAGUUGUCUGCACUUAGCUCCUGGUGCCAGGUGACUGCCCCAGGGCUCCCUCUGGGAGUGAUUGUCUUUUCUUCAAUGAUGCCAGUCAACCACCUGGCAAAACAUCAUGCUGGUGACAGGAAAGGGAAUUCACUUCAUUCCUCCAGCAUGGAUGGAGGACCCACGACCGAACACCAGACCUGGGCCAGAGCCUGCGGCGUGGAGCUGAGUAAUCAACCCCUGCCCACUGGGGAUUCUCAGGUCUGGGGGGAGAGGCAGACAUGAAAACAAACACGUCCUGUACAGUGCCAUUAGUCUUGUACCAGCCGCCUCGGGAGCCCAGAGUAACGAACACCAUCUGGGGGGUUCCCAGGGGACUCAGGGAAGGCCUUACUGCACGGGUGCCUCUGAGCGGAGGUCUGCAAGGAUGACUGAAAGCUUCCAAGCAGGAUAAGACAAGGGAAAGAAUUAAUUCUCCUCAGAAGGAACCACCUGUGGAAAAGCAGAGAGGUGAAGAAGGACACGGCGUGUCUCAGAAACAAACGGCAAGGUAGCAGAGGUCCAGACAGGAGCCCAAGCAAGUAAAGUGGGCAACUUCACCCCAGCCAUCGCCCCUCAGAGCUCUAGCUCCACAGCUCCUGUGUAAGCAGUGUUAUCUUUCUAUGUAGAGAUCAUGUCUGUUGUGUGGGUGUUCCAGGUCCACGAUUAUAAGGUACUGAUACAAACUGUCAUCUCAAGGAAUCCAAGUCUUAUGUUUGAAAAAGCCACUGGAAGGGUCAUCUGAAUCUUUAAGCAGUUGUGAUACUCUGAAAUGUGAUUGCUGACUGGAACUGUGAAGAACCUGAUACUUGACAGAGGGGGAACCAGGCCUCAGAGAAGUGAAGGGGCCACCCACCCUCAACAUGGCGGGAUAAGCCACACCCAGCUCUCCAUACCAACCAUGCCAAACUUCCUUUCCUUCCUUUUUCCCCUUCAGGUGCCCGGGCCAGUGUUCUUCACUCAAUGGACA
ensembl:lncRNA